rnacentral:lncRNA from 1 species
CCACCACAAAACAAAAACAAACACAAACAGGGUAGAAAGAUCCGAAGUCCAAAAGUUCAGGGCAUCACACAGCAGCCCUAGAAACCAGAGGUGAUGGGGCACUUAAGAGUCCCGCAGGAAGAGCCUCUCCCACCAAACAUGCCACCAGUCAAGCACCAUCCGGAGCUCACCUGAGACCUUCAGCACCCUGUGAGCCCCUCUGGGGGAAGCUGCUGGGUGGUGUGCUCUAGGGUCAACAGGCAAACAGAGAAAGCAGGGCCAGGACAUGGGCUGCUGAGGAAGACAGAGGGUGACAGCCAGGGCCUGAGGAGGGUCACUGCCCAGCCUCUGUGAGAGGACCUGCAGAGAUGUGUUGUGAAUUUGGGAAAGGACUGAUCAUCAGUUCACAGAAAAUAGAAAAUAGGAGGCAGGAGGGAAAGAAGAGGGGAGAAACAAGAAGGGUGUGGACAAUGCUCACUAUCACUACAGGGCCAGUGGUGGCAGCUGACAGGUGUGAUCUGGGGGCAGAGGGCAGAAAAGUGUGGUGCUGGGAGUGGGUUGCUCGGGCCUUAGCUUCCCCGGCGGGAGAGCAACAGAACCCAAAGCUGAGAGCUGGAAAGGCAGCAGCCCAGGGUGCAGGCUCCUACAGCCCAGGGGACGGCUGCCCUACAGGCAGAGCCACCCGACAGACAGGACAAUCAGAGAACUCAUGUCUGCCGAAUGUAUGGGACAGUCACAAAGUCGGUCAUGAUGUAGGCCACAAGCAAAGCAGGUCCUCCCACACACUACAGAUGCCACAACAAAUCUGUGACUACGACACAGUAUAAUUAAUUAAAAAUUACUAAUAAGCCAGGCACAAUGGUGCAUGCCUGCAAUCCCAGUGACUUGGGAAGCUAAGGCAGCAGGUUACCAAGUUCAAGGCCGAUCGGGGCAACUUUGACCCUUUUCCAAAAUGAAAAAUUGAAAGGGCUGGAGGUGUAGCUCAGGGGUAGAGCACUCCUGCGUUCAAUCUCUGCAGAAAACAAACACAGGCCACUCCUAUUGACACAGACAUUCCAAAACACCCUUCUAAUUGACCCCAGAGUGAAAAAGAAAAUCAAGGUUGAGAUGUAAAUUUAUUAGAAAUGAACAAUGAGAAGAGGACACACCAAAACCCAUGAAGGGUGGCCAAAAAUGUCCUCUAAAGGCACUCUAUAUCUUUAAAUGCAUUAUUAGAAAAAAGUUCCGCAGUGGCCAAGCAAAUCACUUGAGAAGCUAGAAAAGGAACAAAAGAAAUUUACUGAAAGUUUAAAGAUGGAAUUACGGUAGAUUAGUGAAUAAGUUAAAAGAAAAAACAGUGGACAAUAAUCACAAAUGGAUUCUUUGAAAAGCCACAUGCUCACCAUCCCACGCACAGCCAUCUUUCCACUCAUGUUCAGGGUCCGUUCAGCUUCUUCUUUCAGAACUGCAUGUCAUCGCAGGUUUUACCCACUUUUCUAUUCAGUCUGGUUUGUUUGGGGGGCUUGUUUUCUUGUCGUGCUGGGAAUGAAACCUUCCCUAAGCAGAACCACACAGGUAGUCUGCCUUCCCCUGCUCGGGAAUAUCCAUGGGUCUGCACAGCGGUGUUGGUCCCUUUCACCAUCAUGUGAACCAAGGCACAAAUGUGGGCUUGUUUGAACCCAGGGGUACUUAACCACUGAGCUUGGCAAGUGCUCCAACACUGAGCUGCACCCUGAGUCCUCUGUUCGGUUUUCACGACAGUUUUCUGACAGCUUGCAAGCAUCCCUUCAUAGACACUUGACUGUUUAAAGAUUACAAGUAUUUCCUUCCAGAAUGUCAUUUAACAUUUUUAUGUCCUUGAUUGUGCCAUAAUUUAAAAAUCUGUUAGGCUUUUCCUCCAAGGAUUGUACAUCUGGCCUAAGAAAGGCAUUUGUUACUCUGGGAUUCUAAACACUUUGGCGUCUCCAGUGCUGCUAUGGUUUGGGUUAAAUGCUAUGUGUUUCAGAAGAAGUGGGGGUUCACUCUGCCAUGUUCUAGGUGGAUAGCCAACCAUCCCACUACCACUUAUUGAAAAGUAUUUCCUGCUGCUUUGAAAUUCCACGCAGAAAUUAAACCUCCAGAUUAAAAAGUGAUAUGGGUCACUUUUUCUUCUUUCAGUACUAAGGAUGGAUCCCAGGGCCUUGCACACGCUAGGCAAGCGCUCUACAACUGAGCCACCCUCCGGCCCACAAGUGUCACUUUGACACCCAUCUGUCCUAAAUUGGGCAGGUAUUUGCCACUUUCUGCCCCAAUACCACACAAUUUUAAUUGCUAGAGCUUAGAGGAGGCAAGGACUUUUGUUUCUGUUGCUCAGGCUGGGUGCCGUGGCACAUUCCUGUAAUCCCAGCGGCUCAGGAGGCUGAGACAGGAGGAUCACAAGUUCAAAGCCAGCCUCCACAAAAGCAAGGUGCUAAGUCACUCAGUGAGACCCUGUCUCUAAAUAAAAUACAGAAUGGGGCUCAGUGUCAAGUGCCCCUGAGUUCAAUUCCUGCCAAAAAAAUUGUUGCACGGUUUCUUUCUUUAUAAAGUAAAAAUUUUACACAUAUAUUUUAAGAAAUAUCUUAUUGUCAGUGAACUUUAUUUAUUUAUAUGCAGUGCUGAGAAUCAAACCCAGUACCUCACACAUGCUAGGCAAGUGCUCUACCACUGAGUCACAACGCCAGCCCUACAUGUAUUUUUUUAAAUUAGAUUUUAAUGAAUAUAUUACCAAUAUUACUUUUCCAUGUUUUUGCUCCGUCCUAUGGAGCAGGUAUCGGCACAAACAAAUUUGCUGAAUUUGACACAGAGUGUGCAGUAAACUGGCGGCUACUUACAGUCCAUCCCCCACCCUGGGCUGGAAUACUGCUGUUCUCCACACAUUCACGUGGGCGGCGCAGGAUCUGGUUAUUCCUAGUCCCCUCCACCCCUUAUUUUUUUUUUAAGUUGUCAAUGGACCUUUAUUUUAUUUAUUUUUAUGUGGUGCUGAGAUUCGAACCCAGGGCCUCACACAUACUAGGCAAGUGUUCUACCACUGAGCUACAACCCCAGCCCUCCCAGUCCCCUUGAUGAAGCCAUUCUUUCAACUGGAGCAUUCAGUCCACAUUCAUUUGCUAAACUGAAUGCCAGGUGAGUGGCUCUGUCCGCUUCUCACCUAAUGCUUUCUGUCCCUUUUGCCUGUUUGCGUUUCUUGGUUGGUGCCUCAUGCUUCCUUCUGCGACCACUGCAUGUGGUUUCUGUCCCAUCUUCCCUUCCCCUGUGGGGCCAGGGCUCUUUCUAUUCUUGGGUGCAGUCACAGUGUACAUGCAAAACCAAAGUCCAAUAUUCCCAAAUGGUGCAAGACCCAGAGGCCUUGUGUCCAAGCCACUGUGGUGGGUACCGUACCCCAAGCAGGCUCUGUGACUGACACCCAGUGAUUGUUUGAACCCAGGGGUACUUAACCACUGAGCUCGGUACUUAACCACUUAACCAUCGGUGCUCGUUUCGAUCUCCCCAAAGACUUGUGUUUCACUCUCAUUCCUGGUCUACUUCACGCCUUCUGAGAUCACUGUCUUCCUCUUUGAGGUCUGUCCUCAGAAUUGAUAUGAGAGUCUAUGGGGGGACUGGGGAUAUGGCUCAAGUACUAGUGAGCUCGCCUGGCAUGCAUGAGGCACUGGGUUCAAUCCUCAGCACCACAUAAAAAUAAAAUGGAGAUAUUAUGUCCACCUAAAGCUAAAAAAAAAAGAAAAAGAAAGAAAGAGAAAAAGAGUCUAUGGAGGAUGAAUUGCUUUUUGUUUAUCACUUUCAUUAUUUUAUUUAUUUUGUGGUGCUGGUGAUUGAACCCAGGCCCUCAUGCAUGCUAGGCAAAUAAAUACUUUACUACUGAGUUAAGUCCCAGCCCUUUAUCUGGCGGUACUGGGAAACAAACCCAAGAGUGUUCUACCACCAAGCUACACCCCUAGCCUAUUUAUUUAUUUGAGACAGGAUCUCCCUAAAUUGCUGAGGCUGGCCUUGAACUUGAGAUCCACUUGCCUCAGUCUCCUGAGUCACUGGAUCACAUGCAUGUCCAACAACUGUCCUAUAUUUAUCAUUUGAAGUCAAGUGAUAACUUGCCUUCUCUGUAGAAAACACCUAUGCCAGGCAGAAUUUUUUUCUUUUCUCUCGGCCUACAUGUGGUACCCUCUCUGUAACAAGCUUCCACAGACUUUUUCUUCUUCUUUUUUUUUUUUUUAGGUCCCACUGUGUGCCCCAAGCUGGCCUCAGACUCUCAAUUCCCUUGAGGGGUUCGGGUCACACAUCCUAUGGCUGCCGACUAAAGGUAGCUGUCAAGUCCCUCUGCUUCCUCUGCCUGCCUCUGAGAGACUUGUCUCUGGACCCUGCAGGACCACUGUGACGGCUCGGGCUUGGAACCUAACUUAGGCCACUGGGCUUUGCUGGGCCGUCCAGGACAAGGUCUGAUCACCACCGACCUCCAGAGCACAUCCAAGGACUUGCACAUGGAUCAGCCUCAUGUCGCCCCCUCCCAGGUUCAGGAGGGAGGACCAGCGUGAGAAAAGAUGCUGCAGAGAUGAUGGAGUGUGACUUCCAAGGUCACCUGCAGAGCCCUGGCUGCUUGCACUUGGCUCUCACUCCCUCUGGGGGAAGCCAGCCACAUGCUGGGAAGACACACAGCCUACUGUGUGGAGAUGUGUGGUCAGGAUCUGUGGCCUCUGCCAAUAUCCAACCCCGACCAAGUGAGGGAGUGCUGUGGGCACAGCCUUAGUCCAGCUUUCAGAGGGACUGUAGCUCAGACUGACAUCUUGACAACAACCUCCUGACAGACCACAUCAAGGCCACGCAGCUAAGCAGAGUUCCUGGCCUACAGAAUCCAAGGCAAAAUAUUGUUUCAAGCCACUAAGUUUUGGA